rnacentral:rRNA from 1 species
GAUGAACGCUGGCGGCGUGCCUAAUACAUGCAAGUCGAGCGAACAGAUAAGGAGCUUGCUCCCUUGACGUUAGCGGCGGACGGGUGAGUAACACGUGGGUAACCUACCUAUAAGACUGGAAUAACUCCGGGAAACCGGGGCUAAUGCCGGAUAACAUUUAGAACCGCAUGGUUCUAAAGUGAAAGAUGGUUUUGCUAUCACUUAUAGAUGGACCCGCGCCGUAUUAGCUAGUUGGUAAGGUAACGGCUUACCAAGGCAACGAUACGUAGCCGACCUGAGAGGGUGAACGGCGGCACUGGAACUGAGACACGGUCCAGACUCCUACGGGAGGCAGCAGUAGGGAAUCUUCCGAAAUGGGCGAAAGCCUGACGGAGCAACGCCGCGUGAGUGAUGAAGGUCUUCGGAUCGUAAAACUCUGUUAUUAGGGAAGAACAAAUGUGUAAGUAACUGUGCACGUCUUGACGGUACCUAAUCAGAAAGCCACGGCUAACUACGUG